rnacentral:rRNA from 1 species
UUCAACUUGAGAGUUUGAUCCUGGCUCAGAACGAACGCUGGCGGCAGGCCUAACACAUGCAAGUCGAGCGAACCCUUCG